UGCGAGAGCUCGCUGAGCGGACGCUCGGCCUGACGCCUCAGAAGGGUCAGUGGCACGCCGAUCAGGGGCGUGGGGUGGUCCUGGUCCCCGUCCUCUCGCGG
rnacentral:tRNA from 1 species